CGAUACAGCGUCGUUUGAUGAUGAAGGCUUUUUUUUCUUGCGGUUGUUCUUCCCUUUAGCUUUGCCAGCGCUAAACCAAAGCCGGCAAGGAGAGAGCUGAAAUGCAACUCUCCAAAGCAAUUGUCUGGAAGACUCUACAUGCUCAUUUCAUUUUUACUUUCGAGUCCGGCGCUCAGUGCAUGCCAGUCAGCUUUGGUUUAAUGGAAUCGGGAUCUUCCCUUUCUGCAAGCUAUUUUAACUUAAGAACCAGCGUCGAUCCUGAAAAAUGAGAGAUACCAGAACAUUGUGUUGCUCGGCCACACCGCAGAUUCCUUCCAGAUAUGAUUCACCCAGAAAAAAUUCAUACCGCGAGCAUGCAGGGAGCUAUGAGAAAGGGGUUUGCCUGGCUCCUCACCCAAAGGGACCAGGAAAGAGGAUUUCCUUGGACCAAUCUGCAGAGAAGGGGAUUCCCUUGGACUAACUAAUCUGCAGGCUCCCGACAGACUGAUUUUCCUGACCCGCCAAAGGAUAACAGAGAUUGGGCAGUGCAACCCUUACUCAGUCGAAUUUCUUUUGAUUAAAUACAUGAAUGUAGUUGUGUCUUUGAGCAUAAAAUUAAAGUUGGUUUGUUCAUAAUCACUCGA